AAAUUGCAACAAAUAAAAAAGAAUGAACAUUCGAACACUUCUUAAAUCUAACUUCAACUCUGGGACCCAAAAAAUCACGAAAAACGAGUCCACUCAAAUUUUGGAUGUCUCUUUCUUGGGUUUAUUGCUGCAGUCGUGGCCAUAGCAAAACGCCAACGCCUUUGGGCCAUAAGCUGCAAAAAGCUGGAAUAAAUUCUUUUGCUCCGUUCCUCUUUGGUUGACUUUUGGCUGACUGAAACUUGGCUAAAAGGCAGCCGCUCACCUCCGCUGACGGGACCGUCUCCCCCAAUCCCCCACCACCAACGCCUUACCCGCUCACACAAUGGUGGUCGUCUCUCUUCAUGGCAGGAGGAAGAGGCCAGGAAAGGCCGAGCCAGACCAGGCCAGACCAGUCGAUGUACCCAUACCGCGCGACAAGCAACAUGUUGCUUAUGCACUCGUCAAAGCAAUUUGCAUACAAAUGUUGCCAAGGCACUUGAAAGUGCAAUCAGAAUCGCUGGAACUGCAAACAAAAAAAAAAACACUGAACACCGAACACUGAAAACUGGGACUGCGUCUCGGUCUGGGACUGGGUCCGUGUUCUGGAGAGCUAUGUCGAUGCCGAUGUCGAUGUGGCUUGUGGAGCAUAGGAUGGAAAGGCCGUUUGCCGUUUCAUAAUUUGAUAUUAAACAUGCACUCGCCUCUCUGUAUGUGUCUCUGAAUGUAUGUGUGUGUGUAAAACUUGUAAAUUUGCAAAUUGCUGAAAUGCAUGACAGAAAGGGGACAGGCAGCUGGUGAUUCUCCUGCUGCUGCUGCUGCUGUUGCAGUUCAAAA